CUCGCCCGCACUCGUCCGUGCUCCGGGCAGCCGCCCCAAAGCGUUCGUGCGUGGGCGGGGAUGUGAAGUCUUGCGGAACUCCUGAAAGAUGGAAGAAAGAGCUUUAUAAGGACAUCUGUAUCUUGGUCUGAACUGAGGGAACUUCCCAUGCUACAAGUCCAUUCUGUUAUCCUGCAAAGGGGCUGAGACAGAUGGACUGACAGAUUAAGCUCAGGAGUGUAUUUGUUUCCAUGGACUAAAAUGAGAUGCUUAAACAGGUUUUUGUUUCUAUUAUUUUAAAUUAUGUUGUUUCCUCUAACAGUACCAGAGCGGACUCCCAUUGGCUUCUGUUACUGCUGCCAGUGCCCACCCUUCUGCUGGUUAAAUCUUCGAGUGGCAAACAUUACCCCAUCAGCACAAUUCCAGACCUGGGAUUCCAGCCACUUUUGGCUAAAGGGAAACUCAUUUUUGUUGCUAUAAAAGUAUCAAGCCAUGUAAAUGCCUGUGGCUCAAAUUUAGGUCCUUGUGUCUAGGAAUAGCAGCACAGCUGAUGAGUGAAUGAGAGGAGAGGAAGAAGCAAACAGACCACUGUGCAUCUUGUCUCAUUCCUCUGAGUCAACUUGUCCUCUCAAGGACAGCAAGAGGAACAGGCCUUUGCCAUCCCCUGGCACAGCAGCAACCCUUAUAGCUUGCCUCAGGGUUGCUCCUGCAAGAGAGAUGGCCAAGGCCAAUGUGCCCCACCUGAAGUGCUGACCCACUGGGCCUGGUCUGAGCCACAGCUGGGAGAAGGAGUCAUCCACUCAAGAAUACAAUGACUCAGAGGCAAAAGAAAUUGCUCAGCUUGCCUUGAUCCAAAGUCCAAGACAGCAGAAACUCAGCCAGCCCUUUAAGGUGCUGGUCCGUGGUUAAACCCAGCUUGUUACUAAGGUCUUUGCUGGCAUGCAGUGGAUGUGGGAGGAAGCAUGACACCAGAGGCCCCUCCUUUGCUACAUCCCACCUUUGCAGACUGCAUAACACUGGAGUAAAGUCUGCUCUCUGCACUCAGGGAUGAGCAAGAUUAAGGGCCCCUCAAGAGACCAGAAGUGGCUGGUGUAAGAGGAGAGAUAAGCUGAGCCUUCUGAAUUGAACUAUCUUCUCCUGAAUACCAGAGAGUUCAGAGGGAAAUUUUGGCUGUGUAGAGUAUAAAUGCUGUGUUGUUUCUUGUGCUGGACUCCUGCAGCAUCUGCAAAACCCUAGAAAACAAUGGUGUGGAAAAGAUACAGCUGUACCUGCAAAAUGCAGAUCCCAGAUAUUAACCCUGCCCUGAAAUCACUGCACUGCUCUGAGCUUCUGGUUGCCUAUCUGGAAAACAGAAGUAAUGAAUGUAUAUUUAAUUGUCUUAGUAAAGUGUCUGCUGAUAGAGGGAUGGAAAAUAUGAGCUAAGCACAAAGUACCACUAAUAUUAAGCUAUUUCUUACAGCAUUGUUAACACUGCUUUCUGCAAAUCAUUGCUGUUGACUCACCCUGUCACUCAAAUAAUUUAUGCUGCACAAAGUGUCGAUCUGUUACAUUGCAGCACAGAUUGAAAGAAGAAGAUGAAAUAAUCUAGGGAGUAUGGCAUGAAGUUUUAAAUAGCUCUAAGGAACAGCUACUGCUAGUUAUUAACAUUAUACAUUUUGCUAAAUUACAUAAAAAUAAUAUUAAAAUAAUAAAGCAUUUCAGCUACAGUAUUACGUCAUACUGUAAUAUAUCAGAAGCAGCAGUGCAUGCUAAUGUAUGAGGAAAUGACAUUUUAAAAUGCAAAUAAUUUUAAAAGUGGGGAAAAUUAAAUUAAAUUUGAAGUAAAAUUGUGAUGCAAACCCAAUCAUUUUCUACAGUGCUUUUUAAAUUUUGAACACUUUUUUCAUUCAAAUUCUAUUACUGAGCCUUGUGGAUUUUGUGGAGAAGCAAAUCCAAGAUCAUUCCUGGAACUUUUAUUGAGACUAAAAUGGGAAGUGUGGUGCCAAACACAAACAAUUUUCCUGUUUUCUACCUCCUUGUCUUUUCUUGUGGUUUUGGAUGAAUACUUACUGUCUAAUAUUCAUGGGUUAUGUUGCUGUACAGGGACAACCCCUGAAAGAAAGUUUUUUCAGUAAAGAGCUUGUUGGCCAUA